GCAGCAGGAGCAGGCGCCCGCCUCCGGGCACCUUUGCCCACCUGCGCAGUAAGCCUGAACCAGGGCGAGGGAAGUCCCGGAGACGUUUGCGCAGGCGCCCUCGAGAGAGCGCGAUUGAGCACGAGCAGUGUGAGGGGCUGAACAGACCCUAAUAAUCCGUUUUAAUACUACCUGCAGGAAAAAUGUGAGAACCACUGCUCUAGAAGGUAAGCACAGUACUGGUUUCUGGACUAGAAACAACACACCUGUUGUUGGACAGAUUGAAGACACACCCAAUAUAAUCCUGGUGGUUUCUGUGGCCCAGAGAAGUGUCUAAAGGGGUUGGGUGCGGGCUGCAGGCCUGUGCAGAAUGUGGGCUUGGACACUGAGCAGGCCAUGGCUCUGGAGUACAGUUUACAUUCUGGAGGCUCUUCCCUACAGAACCAAAUGGCAUAAAAAGAAUUUUAAUCUUUUAUUUGUUUAUUUUUUAACAUUUUCUUUAUUUGCGAGGGGAGAGGGUCAGAGGGAGAAGCAGACUCCCCUCUGAGCAUGGAGCCUGAUGUGGGCCUGGAUCCCUGGGACUACAGGAUCAUGACCCCAGUGGAAGGCAGUUGCUCAAUCAAUGGAGCCACCCAGAUGCCGCAGAGUUUUAAUCUCUUAACUCUUCUAAUCUUUAGUUUUUCAACUCUCAUUCCUGAAAUCACACUUCUCAAAUUAUUUUUGAGAAUAAUAUAUCCCAAAUUAUUUCUGAUCUCAGGAUCUUUGCAUAAAUUGCUCCCCUUAUGGGGAAUACCUUCUCCCCCUGCCAGCCUCUUUUUUUUUCCUCUUCCCCUCAUUUUUCCUUGAAUUGCUCCUAUUAAUUCCCCCAUGUCUGAAUAUAAGGUAGGGAUAUUCUCCUUAAAGAUCCUACCUUAGGGGGCCUUUUCUAACACCUCUUUUCAUCCCCAUCCAAAUAGUCUCCGUUAUUCUAUCUCAACAUACCCUCUCCUUUUCCUUCAUUUUACAUUGUCUCAAGUUAAAAUUACAGAUUUGGGUGUUAAUUUUUCUAAUGACCCUUUCCCCGCUGUAUCCUAAGACUUACAAAGGGUAUGUCUGUCUCUUUACUCUUGUACCCCAGCAGCACCUACUGUAAUAAUUAGCACAUAGUAGGUUCUCAACAAGAAGUAGUUGAGUGAAUGUAGUCACCUCAACCCUUCUGUCAAAUCCAGGACACUUGUUCAGAACUCUGUGUGAUGACCGUGUGGACAGCAGAAGGAGAGGGCCUGGCCUCACUCACCCCUUGGCUGGUGCUAUGCCAAGGCAGGGUGUAGCAUCUAAUGGAGAGGACUAUGGCCAUUGGCACAUAAAACGUGUGAAACAACCUUCACUUUUUUCCCCAAAUAUACUAGAAGGAGGGUGACUUUUUUUAGGAAAGAGUAAAACUACUACUUGAGAUAUCUGGAUCUUUAUUUAUGCCCUGUUCCUUCCUCUUUUUCUCUCUGUCUCUACACCAUGCUUGUACACACACACACAUACAGACACACACACACACACAUUCAUUCACCAUGAUAACUGAUAGACAACUGAUAUUUUCCCCAGUACUAUUUCAAUAGGAUGUUGGCUCUGUUUUAAUUCUUGGCUAAGAAGAUUACCAGACCAUGUGACAUGGACCAAAAAAUCAUUUAUUUACUCAUUUACCAUUUAUUCAAUAACUAUUUUUUAAGCAUGAAAUCUUUCCCUUUGCAAGACACAGAUGGAGCUAGAGAGUAUAAUGGUUAGUGAAAUAAGUUAGAGAAAGACAAAUACAAUCUGAUUUCACUCAUGUGUGGAAUUUAAGAAACAUAACAAGCACAGAUCAAAAAUAAGAGAAAUCAGAAAGUAGAUGCUUAAUUAUAGAGAACUGAUGGUUACUAGAGGGGAGUAGGUGGGGGAUAGGUGAAAUAGGUGAUGGGGAUUCAGGAAUCCACUUGUCACGAUGAGCCCUGGGUGAGGUAUGGAAUUGUUGAAUCACUGUAUUGUGCACCCAAAACUAAUACAACACUGUAUGUUAACUAACUGGAAUUAAAAUAAAAAUCACUUAAAAAUGAUUUUAAGAUAACUUUUAAAAUUAGUUAAUUAAUUUUCAACAUUCAUGUGUAAUUAACAUACAGUGUUACAUUGGUUUCAGGUGUACGAUGUCAGGAUUCAGCAAUUCUGCACAUUACUCAGCCCUCCCGAAGAUGAGUGUACUCUUAAUCCCCUUCACCUGUUUUAUCCAUCUCCUCAUCUACCUCCCCUCUGGGGACCACUACUUUGUUCUCUAUAAUCAGGAGUCUGUUUUUCUGUUUGUCUCUUUUUGCCUUGUUCAUUUGUUUUCUUUCAAUAACUGUUGAGUGCUUUCUGGAUAGCAUGGUGCCAGGCACUCGCUUUGUUUUAGGCAUUGAGGCAGACGAUGCUGGUUACCUUCCAGUGUUCAUUUUGUCAUUCUUUACUAGUCAACACUGACCUUGCUUAGGUGGCAGUGUGUUCAGUCUAAGAAGAAGAAGAAGAAGAAUUCUACUAGCCUCUCGUGCAACUACAGCUUGUCGUGUGGCACAGUUCCAUCCAAUAAGACAAAUGAUGGUCAGAACUGUCUGAGAAGGUUUUGCGUUCCUGCCCUCUGCGCGGGUCCUUCUUCCUGCUUGUGUCAGGGCAGGAAUGCUGGAGUCAAGGCCGCCAUGCUUCAACUAUGAUUUCCCUAAGGCAAAGAGCCAACAACCACCAGCAGCCACCCUCUUCCAGACUGCUUAGGGCAUGAGAAAAAAAUCAGCCACAAGUUUUGCUGAUGCCACAGGUUAACCAGGUUUCCCAUUACUCAAGAAUGAUCAAAAUCCCUGGUUUGAGGAUAUAAACAUGAACAAAACAAUUCGUAGUCUUAAGGAGCUCCUAAAGGAGAGACAUUGGAAAUCAACACAGGAAACCCCAGAGGACAACAUGCUCCACAAGGGCCCACUGGUUGCAGGUGGAAGAAGUGAAUGAGGACUUAGAGGUAAGAGGAGAGCCCAAGGAAGGCUUCACAGAAGAGGAAAGUCUUGUGUUGUGUGUUUAAAGAAAAAGAAACGUUGGGAUGUUCCAGCAGUGGCUGGCAGCACCAUGCAGAACCAGCCCACUAGCUCCAACUCCUGGUUCUGCUGCUCACUCAGGCGCCUCGUUGCAUGUGAACUGCAGACAGGCACGCAAAUUUAUCUUUUUGAUUUCGUUCCCAGUGCCUGGCAUUUAGAAGAGGCUCAAAAUACACUUGCUGAAUUGAGACCUCUCUGAAGUCCCAUAGAACCAGGCACCUUCUACCAUAUUUUAUUUCAUGGUUAUGCUAAUAAUUUAUAGCCAUUUACCCCCUCUAGAAAGCAUAUGGCACAAGGGGGCAUCCAUUGGUAUCUGAGGUAGCUCGAAUGCCUAGAACCGUGCCUAGCACACAGUAGGUACUCAAUAAAUUCUUGUUGCAUGAAUGAGCACCAAGUUUUCUCAUCUAUAAAAUGUAGAUAACUAUAGCUAUCAAAAAGGAUUGAGUGGAUAAGAGAAAAAUGCAUUUCAAAUGUCUUGCCCUGAACUUCUCACAUGGGUAGCUGUAACGAUGCUUUUGUCUUCUGUAAAACUUGGAGACCCAUUCCUAACAUAGCCACAAGCAGCAACACCUGAGGUCAGCAGCCUAGUCUGUUCUUAGACCUGAGACUGGUUUGAGCAUUUCUCGGGGCCAGUGUGGCAGUUCCAGCAGGGAAGUGUUCGCCUGAAGUACUGGAAAGUCUGUCAGGAGAGAACUGGUCCCGGGAAAGAAUUUCUCUAGGGGGGGGAAAGUCAGUAUUCACGAACUUGAUUCAAAAAUCAGUGAGCCCUGAUGCUCAGACGGUCUUUAGGCCCAAUACCCAUAGAUUCUGCUUGAGGUUCAGGAAGGGUGACCCACAAAAUAAGAGGGCUGUUUUGUUAAAAUAUCCCAGACUAUGUGAGCCCUGGGUUCUGCUGCCUUAUUAGCAAACUGCAGCAGUUGCUGUCUGGACAGGAGAAGUGGGAGGAUGUGACACCAUGGGUGCCUUGGCCUUCUGAGGCUGAUCUGGCAGCAAGUGGCAGAGCAGUUGAAAUAAAUAUGUGAAUGAUAGCGGAACAGAACCUUGUUCCAAGCACAUGUGAUGCCAGGAAUAGCUAGGAAGAGAUGAAGUCACUGGAGUCUCUACAGAGAAGGUGGGGACAAAGAAACAUUGUAUUGUGACCCUGUAUUUCCCAAGAGAUUGGUUAUAGUCUCAAGAAAUGUUAAACAGGUGACAAUAGAGAUCGUGCCUUCUAGUUACCUAAUUACAUACAGUUCUCUCCACACUCUGGUUUGUUGCUUAAGAGAAAAAAAAAUCUGUUCUUUCUCUUAAAAAUUCUAGAAUAAACAGUUUUUUUUAAAGAG